GUGGGGAAUUUUGGACAAUGGGGGCAACCCUGAUCCAGCAAUGCCGCGUGCAGGAAGAAGGCCUUCGGGUUGUAAACUGCUUUUGUACGGAACGAAACGGUCUGGGUUAAUACCCUGGGCUAAUGACGGUACCGUAAGAAUAAGCACCGGCUAACUACGUGCCAGCAGCCGCGGUAAUACGUAGGGUGCGAGCGUUAAUCGGAAUUACUGGGCGUAAAGCGUGCGCAGGCGGUUUUGUAAGACAGGCGUGAAAUCCCCGGGCUCAACCUGGGAAUGGCGCUUGUGACUGCAAAGCUGGAGUGCGGCAGAGGGGGAUAGAAUUCCGCGUGUAGCAGUGAAAUGCGUAGAUAUGCGGAGGAACACCGAUGGCGAAGGCAAUCCCCUGGGCCUGCACUGACGCUCAUGCACGAAAGCGUGGGGAGCAAACAGGAUUAGAUACCCGGGUAGUCC
rnacentral:rRNA from 1 species